rnacentral:rRNA from 1 species
UGGGGGAUAUUGCACAAUGGGCGCAAGCCUGAUGCAGCGACGCCGCGUGGAGGAAGAAGGUUUUCGGAUUGUAAACUCCUGUCUUCAGGGACGAUAAUGACGGUACCUGAGGAGGAAGCCACGGCUAACUACGUGCCAGCAGCCGCGGUAAUACGUAGGUGGCAAGCGUUGUCCGGAAUUACUGGGUGUAAAGGGAGCGUAGGCGGGACAGCAAGUCCAGUGUGAAAUCUAUCGGCUCAACCGAUAGCUGCGCUGGAAACUGUGGUUCUUGAGUGAAGUAGAGGCAGGCGGAAUUCCUAGUGU